AUUGAACGCUGGCGGCAUGCCUUACACAUGCAAGUCGAACGGUAACAGGUCUUCGGAUGCUGACGAGUGGCGAACGGGUGAGUAAUACAUCGGAACGUGCCCGAUCGUGGGGGAUAACGAAGCGAAAGCUUUGCUAAUACCGCAUAAAAUCUACGGAUGAAAGCAGGGGACCGCAAGGCCUUGCGCGAACGGAGCGGCCGAUGGCAGAUUAGGUAGUUGGUGGGAUAAAAGCUUACCAAGCCGACGAUCUGUAGCUGGUCUGAGAGGACGACCAGCCACACUGGGACUGAGACACGGCCCAGACUCCUACGGGAGUCAGCAGUGGGGAAUUUUGGACAAUGGGCGAAAGCCUGAUCCAGCCAUGCCGCGUGCAGGAUGAAGGCCUUCGGGUUGUAAACUGCUUUUGUACGGAACGAAAAGACUCUUUCUAAUAAAGAGGGCCCAUGACGGUACCGUAAGAAUAAGCACCGGCUAACUACGUGCCAGCCGCCGCAGUAACAC
rnacentral:rRNA from 1 species